AGGUCUUCAUGUCUAGUAUAGCAUUAUACCGCGAAACUGCGAAUGGCUCAUUAAAUCAGUUAUCGUUUAUUUGAUAGUACCUUACUACAUGGAUAACCGUGGUAAUUCUAGAGCUAAUACAUGCUAAAAAUCCCGACUUCGGAAGGGAUGUAUUUAUUAGAUUAAAAACCAAUGCCCUUCGGGGCUCUCUGGUGAUUCAUAAUAACUUCUCGAAUCGCACGGCCUUGCGCCGGCGAUGGUUCAUUCAAAUUUCUGCCCUAUCAACUUUCGACGGCUGGGUCUUGGCCAGCCGUGGUGACAACGGGUAACGGAGGGUUAGGGCUCGACCCCGGAGAAGGAGCCUGAGAAACGGCUACUACAUCCAAGGAAGGCAGCAGGCGCGCAAAUUACCCAAUCCCGACACGGGGAGGUAGUGACAAUAAAUACUGAUACAGGGCUCUUUCGGGUCUUGUAAUUGGAAUGAGUACAAUUUAAAUCCCUUAACGAGGAACAAUUGGAGGGCAAGUCUGGUGCCAGCAGCCGCGGUAAUUCCAGCUCCAAUAGCGUAUAUUAAAGUUGUUGAGGUUAAAAAGCUCGUAGUUGAACCUUGGGCCUAGCCGGCCGGUCCGCCUCACCGCGUGCACUGGCUCGGCUGGGUCUUUCCUUCUGGAGAACCGCAUGCCCUUCACUGGGUGUGCCGGGGAACCAGGACUUUUACUCUGAACAAAUUAGAUCGCUUAAAGAAGGCCUAUGCUCGAAUACAUUAGCAUGGAAUAAUAGAAUAGGACGUGUGGUUCUAUUUUGUUGGUUUCUAGGACCGCCGUAAUGAUUAAUAGGGACAGUCGGGGGCAUCAGUAUUCAAUUGUCAGAGGUGAAAUUCUUGGAUUUAUUGAAGACUAACUACUGCGAAAGCAUUUGCCAAGGAUGUUUUCAUUAAUCAGGAACGAAAGUUAGGGGAUCGAAGACGAUCAGAUACCGUCGUAGUCUUAACCAUAAACUAUGCCGAUUAGGGAUCGGACGGCGUUAUUUUUUGACCCGUUCGGCACCUUACGAUAAAUCAAAAUGUUUGGGCUCCUGGGGGGAGUAUGGUCGCAAGGCUGAAACUUAAAGAAAUUGACGGAAGGGCACCACCCAGGGGUGGAGCCUGCGGCUUAAUUUGACUCAACACGGGGAAACUCACCAGGUCCAAACCCGAUGAGGAUUGACAGAUUGAGACUCUUCUUGAUUUCCGGGGGGGGGUGCAGGGCCGUCCUAAUUGGGGGAAGGGAUUUGUCGGCUUAAUUGCGAUAACGAAAGAAAACUUAACCUGCUAAAAAACCCGAAUUGCUUUGGCAGAACCCGGGUUCUUUAAAGGACAUACGGCCCAACCCACAGAAAUUUGUGCAAAAACAGGCCCGGAUGCCCUUAAAAAUUCUGGGGCCCACCCCCUUACCUUAGGAG
rnacentral:rRNA from 1 species